rnacentral:rRNA from 1 species
UACGGAGGGUGCGAGCGUUAUCCGGAAUUACUGGGUUUAAAGGGUGCGUAGGCGGCGUAGUAAGUCAGGGGUGAAAGUUUGCGGCUCAACCGUAAAAUUGCUUUUGAUACUGCUAUGCUAGAAUUAGGAUGAGGUCAGCGGAAUGUGGCAUGUAGCGGUGAAAUGCAUAGAUAUGCCAUAGAACACCAAUUGCGAAGGCAGCUGGCUAGACCUGGAUUGACGCUGAGGCACGAAAGCGUGGGGAGCGAACAGG